rnacentral:rRNA from 1 species
UACGUAGGGUGCAAGCGUUAAUCGGAAUUACUGGGCGUAAAGCGCGCGCAGGCGGCUUUGCAAGUCAGAUGUGAAAUCCCCGGGCUCAACCUGGGAACUGCAUUUGUGACUGCAUGGCUAGAGUGCGGCAGAGGGGGAUGGAAUUCCGCGUGUAGCAGUGAAAUGCGUAGAUAUGCGGAGGAACACCGAUGGCGAAGGCAAUCCCCUGGGCCUGCACUGACGCUCAUGCACGAAAGCGUGGGGAGCAAACAGG